UACGUAGGGUGCGAGCGUUAAUCGGAAUUACUGGGCGUAAAGCGUGCGCAGGCGGUUCGUUGUGUCCGUCGUGAAAGCCCCGGGCUUAACCUGGGAACUGCGAUGGAAACUAGCGAGCUGGAGUGUGGCAGAGGGGGGUGGAAUUCCGCGUGUAGCAGUGAAAUGCGUAGAGAUGCGGAGGAACACCGAUGGCGAAGGCAGCCCCCUGGGCUAACACUGACGCUCAGGCACGAAAAGCGUGGGGAGCAAACAGG
rnacentral:rRNA from 1 species